GAUCUCUAUAUUAACAACACUUAGGUUUUGUUAAGCCUCACUGAACACUUAAAACAUUAUUUUGUAUGGAGUUGCAGAGAUCUUAGAGAAAAAUGUAUCUAAGUUAUUUUACAGUUCUCAUAUUUCUUUCAUAUGUACAUGGUCAGUCAUUGACCUCCUCUGGCCCUGAGGUGAAGAAACCUGGAGAAUCAGUCACACUGUCCUGUAAGGUUACUGGACUCAGCCUUAGCUACCUCCACUGGAUCCGUCAAAAACCACAAAGAGGACUGGAAUGGAUCGGGCGAAUUGACAGUGGCACUGGCACUAUUUUUGCUCAGUCUCUUCAGGGUCAAUUCUCCAUCACUAAAGACACCAACACAAACAUGGUCUAUCUGCAGAUAAAAACCCUGAAGAAUGACGACACAGCUGUUUAUUACUGUGCAAAAGAGUCACAGUUAGUCAAAAGACUGCAGCGCUCAACAAAAACAUGAAUUCUGUUAUGAAGUGUGGUCACAUGUGACUAAAACACUCUCUAGUUGAAUUCUCUUGAGAUUUUAUGUCAUUUUAUUUACCACUUCCCUUCAUUCUCUAGGUUUUUGUUAGGAUAGAUUUUAUCAAGCAAUUAUACAGAGUAAAAUAUACUGUAACUGAGCAGUGGCAUGCACAGACCUCCUCAGGGGCAGGAGUGGACGGACUACAAAAGGCAUAAAAAAGAAUUAUUACAUAGAAUAAUCAAAUGUAUUACAGUUUUUCUGAAUUGCUAGAAGACUAAACAUCAAUCUCUGAACCAAAUUCAUAGUGGUCU